CCUGCAGAGAACAGAGGAAAGUGGGCAAACCGAGAGACAGGCGGACGGGGCAGAGGCGGCGAGGGCCGUGGGGUUGCUUCGGGCUUCGAGUGCGUUAGGGGAGCCGGGGAGCGGCAGACAGCUUCUUUGAGCCUCAUUUUUGUUUCAUCCAUAGAAGCCGUGUGGAUGAGUAGUGCAGCGCCUGGACCUGUCUCCAGUCUCCUAGUAACAGAUUUAACCACUUAUACCAGGCACCUCUUUGGGAUAUAGAAGGCCUUCCCUCUGGUCCCUACCUGUGUAUCUCCAUGACUAGUUCCAACCAUCCCCUGACCCUGCCACUUUUAUUUUGUGUUCCAGUAAUUCUGCCAUCCUUUCAGGCCUUUGUACACAAGCACAAAGGCAUGGAGUGCCCAGAGCACUGAUGCCUACGGCCAAGUUCAAAUUUCCCCUGUGAAGCCUUCCCUUCACGUGCUCCUUUGCCUCUGCUACCCCUGGACAACCCUCCAUUAUAAGCCUCUCCUUUCUGUAUAAAUACAGUGUCCUGGUUUACAUUACAAGCAUACCUUGUUUUGUUGUGCUUUGCUUCAUUGUGCUUUGCAGAUAUUGCAUUUUUUUAAGAUUUUAUUUUUAAGUAAUCCCUACACCCAACUUGGGGGCUCAAAUUACAACCCCAAGAUUAAGAGUCAUAUGCUCCACCAACCCAACCAA